AAGACCUUGCGCUUUUGGAGCGGCCGAUGCCUUAUUAGCUUGUUGGUAAGGUAAAGGCUUACCAAGGCUUCGAUCAGUAGUUGGUGUGAGAGGACGGCCAGCCACACUGGGASUGAGACACGGCCCAGACUCCUACGGGAGGCAGCAGUGGGGAAUUUUGGACAAUGGGGGAAACCCUGAUCCAGCCAUGCCGCGUGAGUGAAGAAGGCCUUCGGGUUGUAAAGCUCUUUCAGCCGGAACGAAACGGUUACGGAUAAUACCCGUGACUACUGACGGUACCGGAAGAAGAAGCACCGGCUAACUACGUGCCAGCAGCCGCGGUAAUACGUAGGGUGCGAGCGUUAAUCGGAAUUACUGGGCGUAAAGCGUGCGCAGGUGGUUUUGUAAGUCAGAUGUGAAAGCCCCGGGCUCAACCUGGGAACU
rnacentral:rRNA from 1 species